rnacentral:rRNA from 1 species
AUUGAACGCUGGCGGCAGGCCUAACACAUGCAAGUCGAGCGAGCGGCGGACGGGUGAGUAAUGUCUGGGAACCUGCCUGAUGGAGGGGGAUCACUACUGGAAACGGUAGCUAAUACGGCAUACCAUCAGAUGUGCCCAGAUGGGGUUAGCUAGUAGUUGGGGUAACGGCUCACCUAGGCGACGAUCCCUAGCUGGUCUGAGAGGAUGACCAGCCACACUGGAACUGAGACACGGCCCAGACUCCUACGGGAGGCAGCAGUGGGGAAUAUUGCACAAUGGGCGCAAGCCUGAGGCAGCCAUGCCGCGUGUGUGAAGAAGGCCUUCGGGUCGUAAAGCUCUGUCAGCGGAGAGGCGUUACCCGCAGAAGAAGCACCGGCUAACUCCGUGCCAGCAGCCGCGGUAAUUC